rnacentral:rRNA from 1 species
UACGGAGGGAGCUAGCGUUGUUCGGAAUUACUGGGCGUAAAGCGCGCGUAGGCGGCUUUGUAAGUUAGAGGUGAAAGCCCGGGGCUCAACCCCGGAACUGCCUUUAAGACUGCAUCGCUUGAAUCCAGGAGAGGUGAGUGGAAUUCCGAGUGUAGAGGUGAAAUUCGUGGAUAUUCGGAAGAACACCAGUGGCGAAGGCGGCUCACUGGACUGGUAUUGACGCUGAUGUGCGAAAGCGUGGGGAGCAAACAGG